AAGAUCUGUGUGAUGCCUGGUGAAUCUUAACACUGUCAUUUAAGGUAGUACACAGCCUAGCAUACUAAACUGGUGAUGGAAGCAAGUUUGUACUAAGCAGAUGAACUGUGAGCAAGAGUGGUGCCUGGAUGUAACAUCCCAAUUUUGUUGACUGUUUUGAAGUGGUGAUGAUUUCUGAUGAAGCUAUUGCAGUGAUGUAGAGAGAAAGUAACUUCUUAAGCAAGCCUUGCCAACCUCCAGAUGUUGAAGAGUUCAGAGUCCCAAAGCAUAUAGUGUUGGCAAAGGGGAUUAUUGGAGGAAAAAAACCACAAAUGUUGUGGGCAUGUGGAGGUACUGAAAAUACUAUUUUACUGAUAAUACCCUGAGUAUUCAAAAGAUAGCUGUAGAGUAUGCAUUCAGAGAAGCAGUAUUAGAGAUAAAUGUGUAUUUCUGUCCUGUUGAUGAGAGGAUGAUUAACGUAGAAGAGAAGCUCUCCUUUGUGGUAGAGGUCUUGUGUGGUGUCCUGAUGGGUUUUUCUCUGUUUAGAGAAGGGAGCUGGAAAUCCACAGUAAGGGAAAAAUAUCUUGUACUAUCAGCCUUGGGUUACCUUAGGCCUUGUUUUGGAGAGCGUGAAACACUGUAUGAUGUCUGCCUGUGAGAUUGGGAGACAUGCUUGCUUGAACAGGGGCCAGGCUUUAAGACACUGUUUUGGCCUGAUGAACAGGGUUGUACCGAGACUGUGUGAGUGCAGUGGGCUUUAUUUAGAAAGGGUGUUUCUGAAUUCCUGAAACGAUGACGAUCCUUUAAUUGUUCUGAAAUGAGAGACAGAGAAGACUGGGAGUGCUGGUUUGUAUGUCCAGAUUGUGGCUGUGGUCUUGUCAGCCUGGGGAGAAAAAAGUUCAAAUAAUUUUUGUGUCGACUUCUGUAUAAAGAAGUUGAAUUUAAGCCUUGCAGUUCAUUUUCCAUUUCACAGUAGAUGUAAUUGCUGACUGGGAUGUAUGUGUCUUAAUUAGGCAAUAUAGCUUGAUGUGGGAUAUUCUUUUUCUGCUUACUUACGAGAGUGCCUUUGGGGAGCAAUGCGUUGGUCUUGUGUGUCUUGUGCCUCCUUAGGGACUGGUCUCACCCUGGGCUGUUGGUUUCAUAUUUCUUCUGUGACUUUGCCUGGCCAAGAAGCUAGACAAUAAAGUUUUGUAGGGACUUCAUACUGGGUUAAGUAAACUAGACUUGGACUGUGCAGCCAGUGGUUCUUACCAGCUCCAGCAUGAUCCUUUUUAGCAGGUGGAUUAAGUCUAUCAGCUCUGCAGUCCCUGGCUUCCAUCAGUCUUGAGCCUGUGGAUUCGUUGGCACUGGAGAAGCUGGUGGUACAGGUAAACACUUCAAAGAUUGAGGAAGAGGAUGCACUUGAGCUCCCCUCAAAGCACUUUAGAGAGGAAGUACAACUGACCCAUCAAUGAAAUUCUCUAUACAGCAAAUGCUGGUGGGAGCCAUAACGCUUAGUGUAAGGACUCUGUUGUAGGCUGGAGGAAGAGGAAGACUGCAAUAAACAGGACUACUGGUGGUCUCCCUUUCCCACUUUCCUGGUUGCACAGUGGGACUUCUCCCACUGCUGCUGAUGCCCCAGAUGGUCUCCUUGCAGGAGGAGCAGCCUCAGCCGUU